rnacentral:rRNA from 1 species
AUACGGAAGGUCCGGGCGUUAUCCGGAUUUAUUGGGUUUAAAGGGAGCGCAGGCGGAGAUGCAAGCGUGACGUCAAAUUUCGGGGCUCAACCCCGUCUCGCGUCGCGAACUGCGUCCCUUGGUUGCGGGAAGGGGAUGCGGAACUCGUGGUGUAGCGGUGAAAUGCAUAGAUAUCACGAAGAACUCCGAUCGCGAAGGCAGCCUUCCGGCCCGUCAACGACGCUCAUGCUCGAAGGUGCGGGUAUCAAACAGGAUUAGAUACCCUGGUAGUCCGCACAGUAAACGAUGGACACCCGCGGUUUGGCCUAUAUGGCUGAGCCGCCAAGCGAAAGCGUUAAGUGUCCCACCUGGGGAGUACGCCGGCAACGGUGAAACUCAAAGGAAUUGACGGGG